GCCGUCGUAAUUCGUUAAGGAGGCGAGACAGACUGUAAAUCUGUUACCAGGGUGGUUCGAGUGGGUUCGAUUCCCUCGGGCGGCACCA
rnacentral:tRNA from 1 species